UCCCCCUCUCUCAGCAGAUCUAUGCUCACCCAGAGUGGAGUGGAUGAUCUCAACCGAGAAACAGACGAUCUCGGGAGGAAGAGGAUGCUGCGAAGAGCUGUCGGAGCUUCCCUUGCCGGAGUCGUCAGCGACUGCGAGCGGCUGACGGCGAUUAGGAUCAGCCCUCACAGGGCUGAGCCCUAGCAGUCAAGACGGCGGGUGAAGAGCCGGGCAGCCGAACAAUGGGGGAUUACAGCUCGGAUAGUGGAGAUUGAGCUGGGGGUUUCCCCCUCAACCCACGAAUGGUAGCCGACGCCAGACCACAGGGAGGCAGAGUGCAAGAGAAGAAGAGGGGGGGGGGAUGGGGAAUCGAUGGGGUAUUCCUUCUUCUCUCGAUUUCGUUCCAAAUAAAGGCGAAAUCAAGGGUUAUCCCCACCCCCUCGGCCGGAGAAGCAGAGAGGCUGAGGAAAAGGAUAUGGAGGCUUAUAAUAAGACCCACCAGAAGAUUGACAGCGACGAGG
rnacentral:lncRNA from 1 species